AACGCAAGUUGCGCCCGAAGCCAUCUGGCUGAGGGCACGUCUGCCUGGGCGUCAAUCAUCAAUUCGCCAUCCAACCCAUCCUCUUCCUACGGAGACGGCUGGGCCAUCGGAUGCGGACACUGGCCUCCCGCGGUCGUGCACUGCGGUUGGAUUAAAAACGAGCAUCGGAGCGGCAUCUCUCCGCGGCAUGCGGUGGUGUUAUGUUUCUAACCCCUUCAGUGUUGCCCGGAGCGUCCCUCCUGAGAGCUCAUCGACCCGAAGCGUACACAGAUGCGACCCCAGGUCAGGCGGGAUUACCCGCUGAGUUUAA
rnacentral:misc_RNA from 1 species